AUAUUGCACAAUGGGCGCAAGCCUGAUGCAGCCAUGCCGCGUGUAUGAAGAAGGCCUUCGGGUUGUAAAGUACUUUCAGUCGGGAGGAAGGUGUUAAGGUUAAUAACCUUGGCAAUUGACGUUACCGACAGAAGAAGCACCGGCUAACUCCGUGCCAGCAGCCGCGGUAAUACGGAGGGUGCAAGCGUUAAUCGGAAUUACUGGGCGUAAAGCGCACGCAGGCGGUUGAUUGAGUCAGAUGUGAAAUCCCCGGGCUUAACCCGGGAAUUGCAUCUGAUACUGGUCAGCUAGAGUCUUGUAGAGGGGGGUAGAAUUCCAUGUGUAGCGGUGAAAUGCGUAGAGAUGUGGAGGAAUACCGGUGGCGAAGGCGGCCCCCUGGACAAAGACUGACGCUCAGGUGCGAAAGCGUGGGGAGCAAAC
rnacentral:rRNA from 1 species